rnacentral:misc_RNA from 1 species
GACCUUGGUUUCUUUUGGUGGUGGCUACGCAUGCACAAGGUAACAAUCGCCGUGGUUUUCAACUGUGUGUAGUAUUAGAUUCUUAAGAGCCAGAGGUAGACACGUUGAGUUCACUGUCUUGUCUAUAUUUGAAACGCCUCUCCCUAGUCUCCAGAGUCUUCCUUUAAAACCUGCAUGCACCGCCAGGGGUCAAAAAGCCAAUCCAUUUCUUAAC